CUAGAACAAAACAUGCACGGUUGGACAGGCCCAAUACCGGCAAUCAAAACUGGGCUAAGGACCGAGCCCAUGACGCAACAUAAUAAUCCCAACAAUCUCCCCCUUUGCGUCAAAUGAGGCGAGAGAUUAUUUCUUCUGUGUUGACUUCACUGUCUUUAUCACCUUGAACAACCGAGGAAUUAUUGCAAGAAGUGUCUGCCGAAACUGGAUAUACCACCUCAACAUUUCAGUGAACAACUUCUUAUCAGCUGCACUGUUCUGAUCUGUAACGACCCAAUUUUCACGCCCAAAAAUUUCAUUUAAAUUAAGUAGCUUGUAAAACAUUUAUAGUAAAACAACAUCCGAUCAUAUCAUUUCAUAAAACAUAUCUCGUGUCUGAAAAUCCAAAACAUGAAAAUAAUAAUAAUGUUAGAGUACAAUCCCAGAACAUCAUAAUGCGGAAAACCAAAGUGUGUGUGUGUAUGAUGUGCCACUACCGCGCCCGCUCCUUCCCCUUCGCUGAAGAGGUACCUGAAACCAAAACUAAAAACUGUAAACACGAAGCUUAGUGAGCUCCCCCAUCGUACCACAUACCAUACAAUCAUAUCACAUACAUACUACCAAGCGUUUCAGGGGUGCCCGACCUACCCGGUAUGACCAUUCUGGGGUGCCGACCUACCCGUACGGCCAUUCUGGGGUGCCGACUUACCCAUGCGGCCAUUCUGGGGUGCCGUCCUACCCGUGUCAAGCCAUUCUGGAGUGCUGACUACCCAUGUCAAGCCAUUCUGGGGUGCUGACUACCCUUCGGUCCUAACAACCGAUCCUCGGGGACUAUUUCACCCCUACUACUACUAUCACAUAUAUCAUAGCAUAAUCUAUUGUCAGACAUAUCUGGGGUGUCCGACCUACCCUUCGGUCCUAACAACCGAAUCUCGGGGACUCUUCCCCCUCCUACUACCUCUAUCUCAUGUAACAUAUCAUGCUAGCAGCUAAACAUGUCAUAACAUACUGUUAGGCAUAUAUGGGGUGCCUAACCUACCCUUCGGUCCUAACAACUGAACUCUAUCACUAUCAUAUACCAUAUCACGCUAGCAUAUAACAUAUCAGGUAGUAACAAUACAGAUGAAUAUCACAAAGACAAACAUCUAGCAUACGAUCCCUACUGGUGGGCCGGCAUUGUGGUCGUAGACCCACCGAUACUGGAAGGUAACUCCCCUCGUACUAGCUGCUGAACUGUAUGGGAAUCCUCUGACUGCUGCUGCUGCUGCUCCGGAAAUCCUCCGGCUACAAUUCCCACAACAUACUCAAUCAAACACUGCUAACUGUCCUUUGGGUAAAAUGACCAUUUUACCCCUGANGUCAAAGUCAAAGUCAACUUCUAGUUGACCUGACUCGCCGAGUUGGCUCGCCAACUCGCCGAGUCCCUAUCCUUCCAUUAGACCUCAUACUCGUCUCUACUCGUCGAGUUAGGCGAUGACUCGACGAGUUUUCCUUCUAAAGGAACAUCGACUGAAUCCUCAUUCGACUCGCCGAGUUGUAUGAAAAACUCGUCUUGUUUAUCAUCAACUGAUACUCAGGUCUUUUCCUUGACUCGCCGAGUUGUAUGAACAACUCGUCGAGUUCAUCUUCAUUCUUAAGAAGAUUGCCUUGGAUGCACUGAGUCUGUUCAUGUACUCGCCGAUUCCCAUGAAUUUCCAGAACAAUGGCUUAGUCCAGAACGUUGGGUCACCCCUUGGGACCCCCUUAAAACCUUUCCACACUCAAUAGGGUCCUUAUGACCCUCAACUAAUAUGGUACAGAACGGACUCGCCGAGUUGGUCACAACCACUCACUGAAUCUUCGCUUUUUGAUGUACAACACUUGAUCAAAAUGUAGAUCUAAGCUUCUACAAUCGAUCUAGCACGUAAAGUUACAACCUUUACGUUCUUGCAUGGGACUUUAAGCUCAAAAGGUCCUAAAACAAGCUCUCACAAUGCAUGGGGCCUUCUUUGAGUGCAAAAGUCACUCCUUUCUGCCUUGUAACCCCUCAAAGGACCUAGAUCCGAAACAUCAACCUCAAACCAUGCUUGCAAUCGUGGUUGGUGACCAAAAUGGCUUAGAAAAGCCCUAAAACUCCAUAAAAUGGGAUCUAUCAAAAGAGCAAGCAAGGCAUAGACUUUAUACCUUCUGAAGUCAGCCAAUGGUGCUCAAAACUGAAUCCUUCUAGCCUCCUCUUGAUCCUUCAAGCUUUUCCUUCCUUCCUUGGAUCAAAAAAGCACCAAAAUCACUCCAAAGGCCUUAGAUUGCUUUAAUANAACGGCUAGGGUUUGCUAUGGGGGUCUUCUAGGAGCAAAUGAGACUAAGGAGGCCGAGUUAAGGUGUUUAAAUAGGGUGCAAACCCUCGGAUUAGGGUUUUUUCCCAAACAAGGUCUACUCGCCGAGUCCACAACUUAAACUCCGCGCCUCAUCCCGCUUCUACUCGGCGAGUUGGUCCUUCAACUCGCCGAGACCAAGACCAAAAGCAAAAUAUUAAAAGAUUUAAUAAAAAGAACACGUACCAAGAAGCAGGUGCUACAAAUCUCCCCCACUUAUUUUAGACUUCCUCCUCGAAGUCUGUUGCUCGAUCCUGAAACAGCUCGAGGUAGUGCUCCAUCAUCUCAUCCACCGGCUCCCAAGUCCACUCCGACCCCUUCUGGUGCUGCCAUUGCACCUUCACGAGUUCUACUCUUUUGUUCCUCAGAUCCUUCGACUUCCGGUAAAGGAUCGCUACAGGCCGCUCGAUGUAAUUCAGGUCGCCAUCAACCUGAAUGUCCUCCAAGGGUACCACUGCUGAGUCGUCCACCAGGCACUUUCGCAGCUGAGAAACAUGGAAAGUGUUGUGUAUCUGACUGAGUUCGGCUGGCAAAUCCAGCCUAUAAGCCACCUUGCCCACUCGGGCUAUAACCCUGAACGGUCCAAUAUACCUUGGGCCCAACUUGCCCCGCUUCCUGAAUCGAAUGACGCCUUUCCAAGGCGACACUUUCAGGAGAACCAUAUCCCCGACCUGGAACUCCAGGUCUGAUCGACGCUUAUCGGCAUAACUUUUCUGCCGACUCUGAGCAGUCUGAAGCCUGCCUUGGACCUGCUGAAUCUUCUUUGUCGUCUUGAGCACUACUUCAGUGCUCCCAAUGACCCUCUGGCCAACCUCGCCCCAACAUAUCGGGGUCCUGCACCUCCUCCCAUACAACAGCUCGAAGGAAGGGCAGUCGAUGCUCGCAUGAUAGCUAUUAUUAUACGGGAACUCCGCCAACGGAAGGUAGGGAUCCCAGCUACCUCCGAAGUCUAAAACACAUGCCCGUAGCAUGUCCUCCAGAGUCUGGAUGGUCCGCUCGCUCUGGCCAUCCAUCUUCGGGUGAAAGGCGGUGCUGAAAUGCAGACGAGUACCUAACUCUUCGUGGAAUUUCUUCCAAAACCUGGAUGUGAACCGCACAUCCCUAUCCGAAAUCACCGAAACUGGCACUCCGUGCCGGGCCACCACCUCUCUGAUAUAGAUAUCGGCCAAUUUGUCGGCCGAGAUGCUCUCCUGAAUUGGGAUAAAAUGGGCGCUCUUGGUCAAUCGAUCCACGAUGACCCAUAUCGAAUCCACUCCCCGUGCGGUCCUGAGAAGCUUGGUGAUAAAAUCCAUCGUAAUAUCCUCCUAUUUCCACAGCGGGAUAUCCAACGGCUGCAUCUUGCCGUGAGGUCUUUGAUGCUCAGCCUUGACCUUCCUGCAGGUCAAGCACCGCUCCAUGUACCAUGCCACAUCCCGCUUCAUGUAGGGCCACCAAUAGUCCAGACGAAGAUCCCUAUACAUCUUCGUCGCCCCAAGAUGAAUGGAGAAUCGGGAUUUGGGCGCCUCCUCCAUCAAGAUCUGGGGCACGCCUCCGAGGUAUGGCACCCACACCCUGCAGUGUAAUGCCAAUAAUCCCCUGCUGUCAUAGUCGAAUGAGGAAACCUGACCCACUAUAUNCUCUUCCGAUGUUCCUCCUUCAUGGCCUCCUGCUGGGCCUCCCGAAUCCGCUCCAAUAGCGGAGUCACCACUGUCAUCUGCAUGCAGUUAUCCCUGAUCGGCGCAGCCUUGCGGCUAAGCGCAUCGGCCACCACAUUGGCCUUACCUGGGUGAUAAAGGAUCUCACAAUCGUAAUCCUUUACCACAUCCAUCCACCGAUGCUGUCUCAUGUUUAGAUUCGGCUGAUCCAUGAGGUACCUCAAACUCUUAUGGUCCGUGUAAAUGGUACAGCAAACCCCAUAGAGGUAAUGACGCGAAAUCUUGAGGGCGAACACAACAGCCCCCAACUCCAAGUCAUGCGUCGGGUAAUCCACCUCGUGAGGCUUCAGUUGCCUCGACGCGUAGGCGAUGACAUGCCCUCUCUGCAUCAAUACUGCACCCAAACCUGAGAUGGACGCAUCGCAAUAAACAACAAAAUCCCCCAUACCCUGUGGCAGGGCUAAGAUUGGUGCCUUGCACAAUCUCUGUCUCAGUGUCUCGAACGCUGACUACUGCUCAGGCCCCCAACGAAAGACCACGACCUUCCUUGUUAGCCUGGUCAAUGGUACGGCUAUCUUGGAGAAAUCCUGGAUGAAUCUUCGAUAAUAGCCCGCUAAUCCCAGGAAACUCCGAAUCUCAGAUGGAGACUUCGGAACCUCCCAUCUCAUCACGGCCUCCACCUUGGCCAUGUCUACCGAAAUCCCGUUCUGGUUGACAAGGUGCCUAAGAAACUGCACCUCGCGCAACCAAAACUCACAUUUGGAGAACUUGGCAUACAAGCUCUCCCUCCUCAAAGUCUCCAACACCUCCCGCAGGUGCUCCUCGUGCUACUCCUGCGUCUUGGAAUAAACCAAGACAUCAUCAAUAAACACUAUCACUGACCAGUCUAACAUCGGUCUACACACGUGGUUCAUGAGGUCCAUGAAUGCGAAAGGAGCAUUGGUGAGCCCGAAGGGCAUCACCACAAACUCAUAGUGGCCAUAGCGCAUUCGAAACGCAAUCUUCUGCACAUCCUCCUCUAUGACCCUCAUCUGAUGAUAUGCUGAACGCAGAUCAAUCUUGGAGAACCAAGAAUCUCCCUGUAGCUGGUCAAAGAGGUCAUCAAUCCUCGGGAGUGGGUAACGGUUCUUCACUGUUACCUUAUUUAGCUCCCUAUAGUCUAUACACAUACGGUGCGACCCGUCCUUCUUCUUCACAAACAGAAUCGGGGGUCUCCAAGGCGAACUACUUGGCCUCAUAAAUCCCUUAUCUAGCAGCUCCUGCAGCUACCUAGACAACUCCUGCAUCUCAGGAAAGCCAACCAAUAGGGUGCCUUGGCUAUCGGAGCCGCACCAGGGACUAGGUCGAUCCUGAACUCCACCUGGCACUUCGGAGGUAUCCCAGGCAGCUCCUCGAGGAAUACGUCCGCGAACUCUCAUACUACGGGCACCACGCCCACCGUCGCUCUACCCCCCUCCCGGGUAUCCAUAACAUAAGCGAAAUAACCUAUGCAACCCUGCUGGAGGUAAUGCCUAGCUCUCGCUGCUGAACAUAGGGCUGGUCCUCGCUGUGGUCUCUCACCAUGAAUCACCAGCUCUCCCCCACUUGGGGUCCUGAUCCGCAGUGACAGUUGCGCGCAGUCGAUCACUGCCCCAUUGGGGCUUAGCCAAUCCAUACCAAUAAUAACCUUCUUCCCCCGUAAAGGUAUGGGAACCAAAUCCACCAGAUAACGCUCCUCAAAUAACCUCAGUACACAAUCUCGAAACAUUGUCGAUGCUCACACCGAACAGUCAUCUGCAAUCUCUACGUCUAGAGGGCACUCCAACAUGCCUGAAGACUCGGAAAAUCUCUUGCUGAGCGCAAGAGAAACGAACGAUCGGGUAGCACCUGAAUCAAACAAUACCUGAACUAGGAUGCUGUUCACAUGGAACGAUCCUAAACAGAGCACAUACAUAACAUAUCAAAAUCACAACAGCAUAUCAUAACAACAUAAAUAAGAAGUCAUACCCGUCACCACAUCGAGUGCAGUGCGUGCCUCCUCGGUAGUCAACUGGAAUGCCCGGCUCCUCACCACUAGAGCCUCUGCCCUGCCCUGCCGGCCAUCAGUGAUCUGCAGGGUCGCUGGAGUUGGCGCCUUCACUGGCGUUGAUGCUGCUGUCAACUGGGGGCAAUUGGCGUUCUUGUGGCCCCUCUGGUUGCAGUGGAAACAUGGAAACUCAGACGUCUGAAUGACCGGUGCAGGGGCAGUACAAUCCCUGCUGAAAUGCCCUGUCUUGCUGCACUUGUAGCAGCCUGACGAUCCCAGUCUACACGCCCCUUCAUGUGGUUUGCUGCAUUUCCUGUAGCGGCCCAGUCCGGACUGGCCUUUCGGCCUACCAUCUGAUCCCUUGGGCUUCUUCCCGGAAGCCGCAAUCGACUGCCCUUCAUCUACUUUCCUCUUCCGGACAUGCUCCAGAUCGAUCUCCUUCUCCCUCGCCCUGGCAAUCAUGGAUUCCAAGGUAGGGCAAGCUGAAAAGCUAACAUGCUCUCGGAUGUCUUCCCGUAGGAUGUCAUGGUAGCGGGUCCUCCUCAUAUCCUCAUCACCCGCAUACUGGGGCACUAGCAACGCCCUCUCCCGGAACUUGGCGGUGAUCUCCGCCACAGUCUCCGUCGUCUGCCUCAUAUCUAAAAACUCCCUGGCCAGCUACUGAAGCUCGACAGCCGAUGCAAACUCUGCUCUGAACCUGGUCAGAAAGUCCGACCAGGUCAUUGCCUCAAUAGCCGAGGCUCCCAAUAAGUCACCGACAUACUCCCACCAAUCUCUAGCUCAGUCUCGUAAACAUCCUGCUGCAUAUCUCACCUUCGACCCCUCGGGGCAGAAGCUGGUCAGCUGUGCGGACUCAAUGUCCGCAAUCCAUCGUCUGGCAGCAAUGGGAUCCUUCGCCCCAUGGAACUCCGGCGCACCACUGCCCCUGAAGUCCUUAAAGGAUAGUGUGAGAGAUCCUGACUGGCCAGAUGUCAUGUUACUCCUGAACGCCCUGAGGCGGUCCUCCAUCAGCUCAACUAUCCCUUCCUUGAUCGACCCAAAAAUGAUGGGGGUCGACUCAAGGAUGCCUCUGGUGAUCUCUGACGCGAUGAACUCGUGUAGCCUCUCAUCUACUGGCUUAGAACCUGAUCCCAAACCCGAUCCCUCUCCAGAACUGCCAAAUGUUGGCCUCUAACGUAGUACCACCAUUCUGCAAUACAUACAGGCAACUAUUAGUGAUAUUGAUACCUCUAAAGGGAUCACAUCUACUACAAGUUCCCCGGUCUUGUCUUAGCCUUCCUCAAUUCGGGUACGAAUCCUCUGCUUUCAGUAGUACAGGCCCAUACUACCUUCCACAUCUAUCCAUACCUUCCUUAAGGACUGCUCCACCAGGUCCCUUUUACCACUGCUGAUCUUUGCUACUCUAAUCCUAGGCUUACCCUAGGAAACCUCUGACUCCACCCAACCCAGUCCUCAGCUGCUGAAGGUCUCUUUGUAAUGCCAAUUAGCCAUUACCUGAAUACAAUCACAUGCAAUGAGGGUCGGGUAAUCCUUCGAGUAAGGGACUCAUCCCUACAACGGUUAGGACUCAAACAAGAGCUACGCAAUAGGGUCAAAUCCAACACUCUAUGAUUAUUCAACCCCGAUCACAUGUGACUUUAAUGUAUUCACCUAACAGCUAACUCCCAUCACUCAAAGCCCUCAUAGCACAAAGCAAACAGUAUUCGGACAAAAAGGGAACAAUCUCAAGCAACUCUAUCCUCAUAAUAGGAACUGCACUAGCAUACAAUGCUAAGCUCAUACUAUCAGGCAUAACCUAGUCAGGCUAUCCUACUGCUGUCUACUCAAUUCUAGCAUGUAACUCUCAUAAGCUAAAGCACAUAAAGCAGAAGCACAUAAAGUAGGCACAUAAGGAAUCACUCCUAGAUCCUUAGUCCUUUUCUAGCAUGUUGUUCUACUGAAACUGAUAAACGUAACAUAAACUUGUAUGGGUACUUUGGGGAACACUUACUUGAGCUUGUCCGGUCGCACACAUCACACACUUGUUCUUUCUAAAAAACUCUUCUAUUUUAUUCUUUAGAAAACCACUUUCUUAUAAAAUCUUUUAAUCCCUCGGUUUGAGUCCAGGCGCCCCCGAAGGUAUGUCCGAAUCCCUCAAACCAGGGCUCUGAUACCAACUUGUAACGACCCAAUUUUCACGCCCAAAAAUUUCAUUUAAAUUAAGUAGUUUGUAAAACAUUUGUAGUAAAACAUCAUCCGAUCAUAUCAUUUCAUAAAACAUAUCUCGUGUCUGAAAACCCAAAACAUGAAAAUAAUAAUAAUGUCAGAGUACAAUCCCAGAACAUCAUAAUGCAGAAAACCAAAGUGUGUGUGUGUAUGAUGUGCCGCUACCGCACCAGCUCCUUCCCCUUCGCUGAAGAGGUACAUGAAACCAAAACUGAAAACUGUAAGCACGAAGC
rnacentral:lncRNA from 1 species